rnacentral:rRNA from 1 species
AUUGAACGCUGGCGGCAGGCCUAACACAUGCAAGUCGAGCGGAUGAGGGUAGCUUGCUAUCUGAUUCAGCGGCGGACGGGUGAAUAAUGCCUAGGAAUCUGCCUGGUAGUGGGGGACAACGUUUCGAAAGGAACGCUAAUACCGCAUACGUCCUACGGGAGAAAGUGGGGGAUCUUCGGACCUCACGCUAUCAGAUGAGCCUAGGUACGAUUAGCUAGUUGGUGAGGUAAAGGCUCACCAAGGCGACGAUCGUUAACUGGUCUGAGAGGAUGAUCAGUCACACUGGAACUGAGACACGGUCCAGACUCCUACGGGAGGCAGCAGUGGGGAAUAUUGGACAAUGGGCGAAAGCCUGAUCCAGCCAUGCCGCGUGUGUGAAGAAGGUCUUCGGAUUGUAAAGCACUUUAAGUUGGGAGGAAGGGCAGUAAGUUAAUACCUUGCUGUUUUGACGUUACCAACAGAAUAAGCACCGGCUAACUUCGUGCCAGCAGCCGCAGUAAAAC